rnacentral:rRNA from 1 species
GACGAACGCUGGCGGCGUGCCUAAUACAUGCAAGUAGAACGCUGAAGGAGGAGCUUGCUCUUCUGGAUGAGUUGCGAACGGGUGAGUAACGCGUAGGUAACCUGCCUGGUAGCGGGGGAUAACUAUUGGAAACGAUAGCUAAUACCGCAUAACAGUAGAUGUUGCAUGACAUUUACUUAAAAGGUGCAAUUGCAUCACUACCAGAUGGACCUGCGUUGUAUUAGCUAGUUGGUGGGGUAACGGCUCACCAAGGCGACGAUACAUAGCCGACCUGAGAGGGUGAUUGGCCACACUGGGACUGGGACACGGCCCAGACUCCUACGGGAGGCAGCAGUAGGGAAUCUUCGGCAAUGGACGGAAGUCUGACCGAGCAACGCCGCGUGAGUGAAGAAGGUUUUCGGAUCGUAAAGCUCUGUUGUAAGAGAAGAACGAGUGUGAGAGUGGAAAGUUCACACUGUGACGGUAUCUUACCAGAAAGGGACGGCUAACUACGUG